rnacentral:rRNA from 1 species
GAAUUUUCCGCAAUGGGGGAAAGCCUGACGGAGCAACGCCGCGUGAGGGAUGAAGGCCUCUGGGCUGUAAACCUCUUUUCUCAAGGAAGAAGACCUGACGGUACUUGAGGAAUAAGCCACGGCUAAUUCCGUGCCAGCAGCCGCGGUAAUACGGGAGUGGCAAGCGUUAUCCGGAAUUAUUGGGCGUAAAGCGUCCGCAGGCGGCCUUUCAAGUCUGCUGUUAAAGCGUGGAGCUUAACUCCAUUAAGGCAGUGGAAACUGUUGGGCUUGAGUGUGGUAGGGGCAGAGGGAAUUCCCGGUGUAGCGGUGAAAUGCGUAGAUAUCGGGAAGAACACCAGUGGCGAAGGCGCUCUGCUGGGCCAUAACUGACGCUCAUGGACGAAAGCCAGGGGAGCGAAAGGGAUUAGAUACCCCUGUAGUC